GAUGAACGCUGGCGGCGUGCCUAAUACAUGCAAGUCGAGCGAACAGAUGAGGAGCUUGCUCCUCUGACGUUAGCGGCGGACGGGUGAGUAACACGUGGAUAACCUACCUAUAAGACUGGGAUAACUUCGGGAAACCGGAGCUAAUACCGGAUAAUAUAUUGAACCGCAUGGUUCAAUAGUGAAAGACGGUUUUGCUGUCACUUAUAGAUGGAUCCGCGCCGCAUUAGCUAGUUGGUAAGGUAACGGCUUACCAAGGCAACGAUGCGUAGCCGACCUGAGAGGGUGAUCGGCCACACUGGAACUGAGACACGGUCCAGACUCCGACGGGAGGCAGCAGUAGGGAAUCUUCCGCAAUGGGCGAAAGACUGACGGAGCAACGCCGCGUGAGUGAUGAAGGUCUUCGGAUCGUAAAACUCUGUUAUUAGGGAAGAACAAAUGUGUAAGUAACUAUGCACGUCUUGACGGUACCUAAUCAGAAAGCCACGGCUAACUACGUG
rnacentral:rRNA from 1 species